rnacentral:lncRNA from 1 species
GUGAACCCCCGCGCCCUUUCCCCCACGGUCCCGGAGGAUGAAGUGGGGUGCAACGGAGACUCAGCUGAGCGUCCAGUUUCGGGCAAUACAAAUCUCUCGGCUUCUACGAGCAGCCAGACGACCCCGCGGACCGUCGCUCCUGAACUUGACCGAGAUGCAAACUUCGGAGUGUUCUCAACGUGGGGGGCCGACUCUCGGGAGACCGCCCCUAAACUUAAGUCCCCUUAGGCUCGCCCCCACCUGGGACUUCACAGAGCCACCUUAAGGGCGGUAUUCCCGCCCCCCCGGAAGUGCGGGGGGGUGGCAGCGUACUUGGAUUCUCAGCCUCCAGCCCCGCGCGGUGGCGGCCGCCGGUGGAUGACUUCGGGCCCCACAAGUGGGGAAACAACAACCACCCCUCGCCCGCACCCCUGGCCCAAAACAACUGGCCAGGUUCCCUGGCCUCCCGGGUCCCUGCAUCCCCCGCAUCCCCGUCCGCAGCCGUGAACUUGAGCCCCCCUCCAUCAGAGGUUGCGAGCGUCCGCCCGCUCGCGGCAGCCACCGUCACUAGACAGUCAAACCCCAAGACGUCAGCCCACAAUGCACCGGGCGGGCCGGGAAAAACGGCCCGGGGAGGGGACCGGGGAAGAGAGGGCCGAGAGGCGUGCGGCAGGGGGGAGGGUAGGA